rnacentral:piRNA from 1 species
UAAAUUAAAAUGUUUGAUUGA